rnacentral:rRNA from 1 species
GAUGAACGCUGGCGGCGUGCCUAAUACAUGCAAGUCGAGCGAACAGACGAGGCGCUUGCUCCUCUGACGUUAGCGGCGGACGGGUGAGUAACACGUGGAUAACCUACCUAUCAGACUGGGAUAACUUCGGGACACCGGAGCUAAUACCUGAUAAUAUAUUGCACCGCAUGGUUCAAUAGUUAAAGACGGUUUUUCUUUCACUUAUAGCUUGUUCCGCGCCUCAUUAGCUAGUUGGUAAGUUAACGGCUUACCACGGCAACGAUGCGUAGCCGACCUGAGAGGGGGAUAGGCCACCAGGGAACGGAGACACGGACCAGACUCCUACGGGAGGCAGCAGUAGGGAAUCGUCCGCAAUGGGCGAAAGCAUGACGGAGCAACGCCGAGUGAGUGAUGAAGGUGUUCGGAUCGUAAAACUCUGUUAUUAGGGAAGAACAAAUGUGUAAGUAACUAUGCACGUCGUGACGGUACCUAAUCAGAAAGCCACGGCUAACUACGUG